GCAAGUCGAACGCGAAAUUUUUUCUUCGGAAGAAAGAGUAGAGUGGCGCACGGGUGAGUAACGCGUGGAUAAUCUACCCUGGAGUGGGGGACAACAUUUCGAAAGGAAUGCUAAUCCCGCAUACGUCCAUGGUGCAUAAGUACUAUGGGGAAAGGUGGCCUCUGAUUUAAGCUAUCGCUCCUGGAUGAGUCCGCGUUGGAUUAGUUAGUUGGUGGGGUAAUGGCCUACCAAGACCGCGAUCCAUAGCUGGUUUGAGAGGAUGAUC
rnacentral:rRNA from 1 species